GCGAUCGUAGUUCAGCGGUAGAACGCUAUCCUUCCAAGUUAGAUGUCGCUGGUUCAAAUCCAGUCGGUCGCU
rnacentral:tRNA from 1 species